rnacentral:rRNA from 1 species
GACGAACGCUGGCGGCGUGCCUAAUACAUGCAAGUCGAACGCAGUGGGGACGGGUGAGUAACACGUGGGUAACCUCCCAUCAGAAGGGAGAACACAUGGAAUCAGGUGCUAAACAGAAACUGAUGGGUGGACCAGCGGUGCAUUAGCCAGUUGGUGGGGUAACGGCUCACCAAGGCCACGAUGCAUAGCCGGCCUGAGAGGGUGAUCGGCCACACGGGAACUGAGACACGGCCCAGACUCCUACGGGAGGAAGCAGUGGGGAAUCUUCGGCAAUGGACGAAAGCCUGACCGAGCAACGCCGCGUGGGUGAAGAAGGUUUUCGGUUCGUAAAACUCUGUUGUUGGGGAAGCGGUAUCUAACCAGAAAGCCACGGCUAACUACGUGCCAGCAGCCGCGGUAAUAC